UGGGGGCAGUGCCUGGACAAGAAACGAGUGAACACCAUGAACUCGGACUGGACUCGGAGCAGGGGGUCCCCUGCCAGGGUGAACUUCAACCCUGGAUCACGGGCUCCCACCAAAGGGAGGGGCCCGAGUGCCCAUGUGAGGUCAGUGGGAGUUUCCCAGAAUCAAAGAACUGAAAAUGCAAGGAAGCAAGAGGAAGGAAAGAAUGGAAGGAAAGAAAGAAAAGGAAAAAGAAAACCACCAGGAUCGCUGACUUUUAUGGGGUUGGAAUCCCUGAAUCACUGGACGCAUCCCUAUGCUGUGACAAGGGUUCCAUGCUGUGGGAACGGUGAAACACUUAGAGACGGGGACUGGUAUGCAAACAGUAAACUGAGCUGCAAUAAUGGCCCUGGACGCACGCAGUCAGUCUGACGUCUGUGAUUCUAGGGACAAACUGUGCAGUGGCCCCAGAUAUGAAAGGACUCGAGGACUCUCUUAGUUUUCACGCUUGGCAGCAAGAACAAGGCAGAAAUGUAAACAGACCGGAGGAGGAUGAAGAUUGCAAGGGAAAGAGAAAGGUAAGUUGCUACUAGUAUCAAAUUUUACACCGUGGGCAAGGGUUGCUAACUUAAGCUGUGGUGAAGGCGAUUCUUGGGUUGUUAUUGCUUUGCAAAGCUGCUCUCUGGAGAUCUGAGUAAGAGAAAGUCAGUCUCCAGCAGCACAAAUACCCCAAGAUGACUCAUGACUUUAAACCAAACAACACUCUUCCUCCAUCCCCCACCACCACGCCAGGAAGGAUGCCAACAAAUUAGAAAAGAAACGGUCAGAAUUCCUUGGGACAGCAAAGGAGUGUCACUAAGUCAGGAUGAGAGGGGAGGUGAGAUGGGGGCUGUGGGGAGAAGCGGGCCUUGGGAAGGGGGUGUAAGCUCCCCCCAGAAAGCGCACCUGCUGUCUGGACCAGCGUCGGAGCCCAGCUCAGAGACACUAAUUAUCCUGGUAGCUCUGGUCCCACCCCUACAGGUCCCACUUUUUAUAGAGGUCAUGCACUCAGAAUAAAAACCAUCUUCACCAUAGCCAAAGUUAUAUGAACUAACUGUAUUGCUUUAUGCUGUGACCACAAAAUAUUAUACAAUGCACCCUUUGUUUUUCAUUUCAUUAAAGGAAGUUUAAUUAAAAAAAAUUUUAAGAAAUUGGCAUCGUGGAAGCAAGUCUUAGCUUUCUGAAAAAGAUAGUUUUCUUUGGGCGCACACUUAUUUUCUCUUUUCCUGAACGGAAGGGACACUUUCUAACUAGGGAACAAGACAGGAACAUGCUUUUAUCUGAUGGGAUGGAGUCCAAUGAGGUGAAUAGAGUGGCCUCCUCUCCUGUACCCUGCACACCAUCCCCUCCCCGCAUCCUCACUCAGUCACUCAGGGCGGAAUUCUCGCCAAAGCAUCUUCAAAACAUAGGCACCUGACCUGUGUCUGAAUUUUACACGACGUUAACCUGGCCACUCAGAACAACCUGUGCUGAGCACUGUCUUUGCCUCAACUCUCAGCCCUCUGCCAGGGAGUCCUGAUUAUCUGCGGGAACUCAAGGAGUGCAGUGGUGGUGGGUCUAGCAAACUAGAAGUCCAUCCUGCCUCCUCCUAUGGUAAAAACAAAAGACACCCUUUCCUGAUGAACUUAGAUCCUUGUCAGCUGGCAAAGCUAACACCGUCGGUCAGUGCAGCAAGGUGUUAUCCCCGGAACCUGAGUCUUAACGAAUCUGCAACCUCGUGUUCAUCUGAUAAAGAGUCCUGCUCAGCCAUCGGGUAGUCCCUUCUACUCCCUUAAGCAAACGUCACUACAUGUAAUUAAAUACACCAUCAUUGGGUCAUUCUUCAGUCCCCUUGCAGAUUUCAACACACUUGGAUUGGGGAAAAAUGUUCUGAAGCUUUGAAUGCCUCCCUACCUGCGAAAUUUGUCCACACGUCAAGAGGCUCACGUGAAAGCUGACGUGAUAGCCUAUUUUUGAGAAAUGUGUGUGAAUUAAUGUCGCUUACUCAUCCGAUACGGGAGGGCUUACCACUUGCCAGGCAUCCAUUGAAUCAUUUAAGUCAAUGUGAUUAGCUCAUUUUUAUGGAUCAGAGAAUUGAACUUUAAGAAAGUGUAAGGAACUUGCUCCGGGGUGACGUGUCUUGUAAGGGGUGCCAUCGGGACUUAAGCCCAGAAUACCCAGUUCUGUCAAAAAACCGACAGCCGGUCAGUGACUCUCUCCACAACCCUUACUGAUGCUGGACUGUCACGUUUUUCAUGUGCUCAGCCUUUGCUGUUGGAGGGGAGUGGCUGGUGGGAAUUCAAGGAGGGGGCCCAGCUUCAAACUCCAUCCCCUACUUACAGGCUGGGUGUGGUUCCCCAUUUUUUCUAUUGGGAUAAUCCUUUCCACCCUGCUGAGUUGUCAUGGCAACCAGGGCAGAAGCAUGUAACUUGUACUGUCAGGAGCGCCCUUCAGACCAGGGAGUGUCAAAGUUUACAGCUUCUCCCUGGAAUGAGGACUAGGACUAUGAGGGAAGCCAAUUUCCAUGGGGUCAUCCUCAAGUUCAAGUGUUAAUAUCAACUCUGGUAUCCAAGAUCAUCUGGACAUCUUGUGAUAACCUGUAACUGGAUUCCUUACAGUGGGUAUCAAGUUUCACAUUCUUCAUCUCUGUGCGCAAAUCAGUAUUACCAGGGGCCACGAUUUCCUGGAUUACCAGGUGGCAUCUUUUAUCUGAUUUUUCUUUUUCAGUUUUUUUUUUUUUAAUUUGCCUUUCCCAGGCUACUUACAGCAAACAGUCUGGGGCAACUCUGGACUCUCAGAGGAGACCAGAGUUAGUGGCCAAGGUGGCUGGAAGAUAAGGCCUGAGAUGUUGAGUAAGGGCUCUCUGACGCAGACCACAUGGGUGUUUGAAAACUGGCGACAUUAGGCAAGAAAAAUAAGGAAACUGAAGCUUCUUAGAUAAAAAUCAAAACAAAAAACCCCACAAAUCUUCCCUUUCUCUCUGCAACCCAGGUGGCAGACACUGUUUCUUGCUGCAACGGGGCAAAAAACAAAAACCAAAAAACAAAAAAACCAAGUUCCUGUUUUCUGUGAACGUGAUCACAGGUGAAGCCAGCAGAGAGCAAGUGAAUGGUGAGCUUUCUGUUUUAGAUGAGCCGUAGGAGGUUACUGGUGGCUGCCCACUGAGCCCCCUUCCGCUACCUUCAAAGAAAUGCCCCAGCAAAGGUCUCUAACUAAGGGACUUGGGAACUUUCUUGGGCGCCUCCUUCCUGCCUCUAUCAGACCCCUCAUCCUGUUCAUCUCCACCUCAUACCCCUAAUCAUUCUGGUUUCCUCCUUUUAAAUUCUCAGGUGAUGACUACGUAUCACCAUCAAACACAAGCACCAACCAUGCACCAUGCACGGGCUCCCUGGUGGAAAGACACAUACUCUGUCCUCAAAACCUCCUCGUUUAGGAAGGAAAGAGACAAGUCACCGUCACAGCCCAGUGCGAUCAGUGUAGGGGGCGGUGGCGGUGCUGGGAGGUGGGAACGCAGAGGAAGGGGUCCCCUACUGAAAUGCGAGGGACGGGAUGCAGCUCAUUCUUGCUGGUGAAGGAAGCUGGUCAAGUUCAGCUUUCUGCAAUGGAUGCUGUAUAGACUGUUUAUGGAACAAAAGUAGGAGUGAGCCAGGCAGUGGAGGGGAGAUACUGACAAAGCACAGCCCCAAGAUGGGCCCCCUGUUUGGGGUCCAGGCUCACAGCAUCAAGCAGCCAGAACCCCUCAAUCUUCAGUGUGAACACUUCUCUUUGUGCAGAGGUAUAUGAGUCAUGCACCCCAGGCUCUCCCUUCAAAAGCGUCCCUAAGAGGAAGUGUGGCUUUGAAAGACCAAGAGUUCUAAGGAUGUAGGGACCUUCAGGGGAGGAGUUCACUUUGGAUUCCCUAAUGUCUGGUUGUAAGCCGAAGGAACAUUUGUGACUAUGUAAUAAACAGAAAAGGCUCUU